UAUCUCUGUAGAGUCUGCAUAUCAAUAAGCGGAGGAAAAGAAACUAACUAGGAUUCCCUUCAGUAACGGCGAGUGAAGCGGGAAGAGCUCAAAUUUGAAAUCUUCAAGGUUUUACCUUGACGAAUUGUAGUUUAAAGAAGUGUUUUCUGUUGGUAGUUUUGGUAAAAGUUCUUUGGAAUAGGACAUCAUAGAGGGUGAGAAUCCCGUAUUUGACCAUUACUUCCAGCGUUGUGAUACACUUUCAAAGAGUCGGAUUGUUUGGGAAUGCAGUCCAAAAUGGGUGGUAAAUUUCAUCUAAAGCUAAAUAUUGGCGAGAGACCGAUAGCGAACAAGUACCGUGAGGGAAAGAUGAAAAGAACUUUGAAAAGAGAGUUAAACAGUACGUGAAAUUGUCAAAAGGGAAGCGUUUGACACCAGUGUUGUUUCCUCGAAAAUCAAUUAAAAAAAGUUGGAUUUUGUAUUGUUAAGACCUUAUCAGCUUACUGUACUCUUUUCCUGCUUUUUUUUGAUGCACUUUUCGUUUAACAAGUCAACAUCAAUUUCUUUUGUUGUAAAAGAGUCAUUGGAAGGUGGCUUUCACUUCGGUGAAAGUGUUUAUAGCCUUUGGCUUCUGCAAUCGGAGAGAUUGAGGUCUGCAGCGUAGAUCCUUCGGGGCUAGAUACGUAGAUGCUAAGUUAUAGUUUUUUAUAGACAACUUGUUGACUAUAAUUAAUCAUGUAGCUUACUCGUUUGCGCUAUUUUACCUACGCUUAGGAUGUUGAUAGUCACAGCGUGUAC
rnacentral:rRNA from 1 species